GGGAGUUUGGCCGAGUGGUUAAGGCGCUGUGUUUAGGUUAUUCUGCAUUGGAAUACUUGAAUCCCGCAGUGGGAAACCGCGCAGGUUCGAAUCCUGCAGCUCUCA